AUUGAACGCUAGCGGGAUGCUUUACACAUGCAAGUCGAACGAGUGGCUGACGGGUGAGUAAUAUAUCGGAACGUGCCCCGUAGCGGGGGAUAACUACUCGAAAGAGUGGCUAAUACAGAAUACUAUUGGAGCGGCCGAUAUCGGAUUAGCUCGUUGGUGGGGUAAAGGCUCACCAAGGCAACGAUCCGUCGCGGGGUUAAGAGGACUACCGGCCACACUGUGACUGAGACACGGCCCCGACUCCUACGGUAGGCAGCAGGGGGAAAUUGUGGACAAGUGGGGAGACCCUGUUCCAGCCAUCCCGCGUGUCUGAGAUGGCCGGCGGGUUGUAAAGUACUUUUGGCAGAGAAGCGGUAGCUGCAGAAUAAGCACCGGCUAACUACGUUCCAGCAGCCGCGGGAAUAC
rnacentral:rRNA from 1 species